CUUUCUGGAUAAUGGGUUUCAGGAUAAGUGAUCCCAUACCUGUAUAUUAAACAGUACCCCAGAUAAUACAAAUAAAUUGCUUUUUAGGUAGAAAGCAAAUGGGGUUGAGUCUAAAACACAUUGUGAAUACUUUUUAAUGAGAUGAGCUCCAUCUUUACAUUGGCAUCUAAAUCCAAGCUGGGUUGGUACAAUACAAGGGAAGCCUCGCCAUCAUUCCUUGGAUUUUGGAAUCUUAGAGAAGUUUAUGAUUUUAUGUCAAUUAUGUUCCUACAAUGGGGCAGGUUGUAGAAGAAAGUAAUACUCAUAGCAAAGUUUGAUUCUUCUUUUCCCCCAAAUGUUUUCUACAGAAGAGCUGAAUUCCAGUAGGAAGAAGGUGUCAUUUCACCCCAGGCAGGGUUUCAUUAGAGGGAGUCAAGUGAAAACAAGGAUAAAACAUGGAUAGGUUUUUGCAUCCAUCAUAUAUUUGUGGACGUUGUCACUUUUUUUUUUUGUUUUGUUUCCCUUCACAUAUUUCAUGGAAAAAAUAUAUAAAUUUAAUAUGAUAUUUAAAUGAUAAUGAUUGCUUCCCCAUAGCUUUAGCCUCCACCUGAAACUAUAGGGCUUUCUGGAGGCUUAUUGGCAUUGAGCAAACUUAACUUUUAUUGUGAGUUUGUGGCAAAGCCAAGUACGUUCUCGGAAGAAGCAAGCUUACCUUGCAGAACGUAUCAUUUGGUGAUAGUUUCCCUUAAGUAAAAAUCCGAAAAAACAAUUCAACGAACAGCGCUAAAGUGUUUUUGUUUGUUUUUCACAGGAGGGUUUGAGGGAGAGAGUAUGAUAGGAGACCUUGGAAUAGAAAUCAUGCAAAUUCCUUCCAGGUAUUAUGUAUUAAAAUCUACAACUGUAGUCAAUGCGUUCUAUUCAAUGGAAACGUUUUGAUGAAACUGCUUUUUUUUCAGGGUAUACAAUAUUAUCCAAAGUAUUUAACAGCAAAAAAAACAAAAAAAAAUUCUAAAAAAAAAAAACAUGCUUAAAAUUUCCUAAGAUAAAAGUCAAAAAACAAAUUUGCAAUCCUAGAUAUUUGUUGUUGUGAUGUAUGCCUUGUAACAGUGCAUGGAGGUAUACGGGAUAAGUGAACGCGCUCGCCAGAGGGGACGCCACGUUGGAAGCCCUCUGGCUAUGGUGGAGUUUGGUGUCAAUGGGGUAAACUUUUUUUUGUGUGUGUGUUCGAGCAGCAUUGAAUAGAACCUUGCAUACAGAAACCACCACUAGAAAGUUCCGUUCAUGACUUUCUGUGUUUAAUAUUAAAUGUGCUUUUUUUGUGAUGUGUUUCAAACCAGGUGAUUUCCAAAUCUUGCAAGAAGUGAGCCUUGCCCCCCUUUUUUUCUUUUGUCCGAUUACUAGAUAGCACAGGUAGUAGUACGCUGUGUUCCUGCAAAGCUUGGCAUUAUGGAGUUGCGUGGCUACGGAUCACAGAGGGGCACUGGUUGUAAUAAAGGGUACAGUUUUCUGUGACUUGCGUGUCCAUCUCCAGGCAUUGUUUAACGUACACACCUAUAUACAUAUGGUUUUCUUUCCUCUUUUGAGCAUCCGGUGUUGUGGGCAACAGUACUUUGCAAACAAAGACUAAAUGCAAUUUUAAUGUCUAUGCUUGGCCCCAACCAGUUCUAUGUGUAGAAUGUGUUGUUAUGGACUGUAAUGGACAUAUAUUCAAGCAGUCUUAUAUUUCUUCUUCUUUUCUUUCCCCCUUUUAUGUGAAUACCAUUGAAUCGGUUUCCACGCCACACACACACAUGAGAAAAAUCGCAUUACUGAACAUAGAGCAGAUUAGCACUUUAUUACCACAUUGGUAACUUAACGUGUGAAAGUGAGAAGUUUUACCUCUUCUCCAAAAAAAAUGCAAAACACCAUUGGCUUUCCUUUGGCCGUAUGUAUAUGUUCUUUCUUACAAUACUGGUAAUAAAUACUUAUCUGCAUUUUGGGAUUGUGUGAUGUGGGUUUUUUAAAUGAUGUUUUAUUUGCCCAUAGCACUAUUAACAGUUGCUGCCUUACUAAUUUUUAAAUUAUUUUAAUUUGUUACAACUUUUUUCUAUAUGUCACUUCAUUCCCAGUGUUUAAGAAAAAAAAAAAUUAAUGAUUGGAAUUUGUGGUUGUUCAUGUGAUGUGAUGUAUUAAUGUUCACAUGCAAUUGGAUCAUGGUAUUUUUUUCAUUGUUCAACAGGGAUAAUAUGUUAAUAAACUGUACUAAUUUAA